GUACAAUAUCAUCUUAUGAAUACAAGAGUGAGCAUGGCAUAGUGAUAGCCAGCCUCUAAAGCUUGGAAGCACUGGGUUCAAACCCCAUCUCUAAUACAUAAUAUCUGUGUGACCUCUGUUUUUCUUCAUUUUAGAUAAUAAGAUCCUGGAGAAAAGGGAAGAUUUCACAUUUUUCUUUCUACCUGCCUCCCUCAGAAGUGACUCCAUACACAGAAAUACAACAUAGAAGAUGACUAGGAAAUAUUUUCCUGGCUAGACAAGGCUCUUAAACAACAGUACAUUUUAGGGAACGGA